rnacentral:rRNA from 1 species
AUACGGAGGGGGUUAGCGUUGUUCGGAAUUACUGGGCGUAAAGCGCACGUAGGCGGACUGGAAAGUUGGGGGUGAAAUCCCGGGGCUCAACCCCGGAACUGCCUCCAAAACUUCCAAUCUAGAGAUCGAGAGAGGUGAGUGGAAUUCCAAGUGUAGAGGUGAAAUUCGUAGAUAUUUGGAGGAACACCAGUGGCGAAGGCGGCUCACUGGCUCGAUACUGACGCUGAGGUGCGAAAGCGUGGGGAGCAAACAGGAUUAGAAACCCCAGUAGUCC